rnacentral:rRNA from 1 species
UACGUAGGGGGCUAGCGUUGUCCGGAAUCAUUGGGCGUAAAGCGCGUGUAGGCGGUUCGGUAAGUCCGCUGUGAAAGUCGGGGGCUCAACCCUCGAAAGCCGGUGGAAACUGUCGGGCUAGAGUACGGAAGAGGCGAGUGGAAUUCCUGGUGUAGCGGUGAAAUGCGCAGAUAUCAGGAGGAACACCAAUUGCGAAGGCAGCUCGCUGGGACGUUACUGACGCUGAGACGCGAAAGCGUGGGGAGCAAACAGG